UGAGGCCACACAACCACAUGGUUCCUGGGCACGGAACCCACGUGGCUCUUCUCACAGGUGGAAUCACUGGGACUCCUUGUGCUGCUGAUGAAGAGAGGUUGGCUGGCAGAGCUGCCACUCCUUGCCCAAACCACAGAGCUCAAUGAGUACAGGCCUGCCCAGAGCUGGCACAAGCCUGGUCACAGUUCUGUCUGGCACACAGUGAAUUUUAUCUGCCCUCAAGGUACACCCACGGGCUGACCUGGACUGGCACCACCAAAAGGACCCUCCAGAGCCUGAGCUGGAUGAACCUUGGCUGCCAGUCUCCCACCCAGCUGCUGCCUCUCCUGGGCAGCUUUUUAGCAGCUUCACAUUUACUCCUUCCUCCAGGCUUGGUUAGGCUCGGUUUGAUCAGCACAGCUUUAGCCAGAUUCCCACUCAGGGUGGCUGGAAGCAGUUUUGUUCCUGCUGCACUUGACCCACAUGGUUUUGGGCUAUGCUUUGGAUGCCUGGAGUUCUGAGCAGCCUCUAAGCAGCAGGCAGGUGGUGUUCUUCAUGCUCCAAGGAGGCAACUGGCUGCUAUUCACCCCUGAUGCCUUGGGAUUUUAGCUUCUAUAUUUUUCAUAUAUUUGUAAUCCUGCACUUCUUUAGUGUAUAACUCUAAAUUCCAAAUACAGUGGGAGCUGCUGCUUUCCCAUUCUGGUCAGACACAACAAUUCCUCUCCAGGCCUGGCAAUCAAGGACACCUCACUGCCUCAGGCCCCAAAAAAAUGUAAACAAAAGUGAGUUGGGGGGAGCAAACUUGGGAUAAAUUACUUCAUUACCUGAAUCUGUAAUUGGAAGAUUAACCCCCAACAUGCAAAUGCACCAAACUUAUAAAAGUAUCAAAACCUGUGA